GACGAACGCUGGCGGCGUGCUUAACACAUGCAAGUCGAACGGAAAGGCCCUGCUUUUGUGGGGUGCUCGAGUGGCGAACGGGUGAGUAACACGUGAGUAACCUGCCCUUGACUUUGGGAUAACUUCAGGAAACUGGGGCUAAUACCGGAUAGGAGCUCCUGCUGCAUGGUGGGGGUUGGAAAGUUUCGGCGGUUGGGGAUGGACUCGCGGCUUAUCAGCUUGUUGGUGGGGUAGUGGCUUACCAAGGCUUUGACGGGUAGCCGGCCUGAGAGGGUGACCGGCCACAUUGGGACUGAGAUACGGCCCAGACUCCUACGGGAGGAAGCAGUGGGGAAUAUUGAACAAUGGGCGGAAGCCUGAUGCAGCAACGCCGCGUGCGGGAUGACGGCCUUCGGGUUGUAAACCGCUUUCGCAUGUGACGAAGCGUGAGUGACGGUAAUGGGUAAAGAAGCACCGGCUAACUACGUG
rnacentral:rRNA from 1 species